rnacentral:lncRNA from 1 species
AUGUACUAUGUAUCGAUAAUUUCAUACCUUAAAAAUUAUAUAUCAAUUUAGCUAGAUAUGUGCAUUGACUUACUUGAUGAUUUAUUUAUUUAAUAUGUAUUAUCUGAUCAUAUAGUAUGUUUCAAUAAAAUAUAUAUUUUCGAAAAAAAAAAGAUGAUGUAAUACUUUUUUUAGUCACAACCGAUGUCCUGCCAGCAUAAAAAGAUUUUGAUUUUUAGGUUUAUGCUUUAAGAUAAAUAUUAAAAAAAAUAUGAUAAAAUCAGAAACCUAUCUCAUGUACCAUCCUCUGCUGACCACCUGAUAUGGUUUUUGCUCGGAACACUCUAGGUGAGAACUGAGGUGGCAAGCUUGAUCAAGAGCAUGGAAAUUAAGUCUAAGAACCAUGGUUCGGGAAGAAGCUAUUUAAAUAGUAAAUUCAGCUUACUACUCAAAGCUUGGGCAUAAAGACAAGAGUUGAUUGCCUAAAUGCCAACAUUUAGACAUUUCCAUUUGAGCCAUUACAUGUAAAUUUACAUGCAGAAAAUAUAUGGACAAAAUUGUAACAUAAAUGACUCACAAAUUUUAACCAAUAGGAAUCAAAAAAUUCGCACAAAACUAAUGCUAGAAUUGGUUGAUUCAAGACUAUUUAUUGGUUUCCAUUUGGUCUAAGCAGGGGAACAAAUACAGCAGGAAUAUUAGUUAUAAGGUUUAGAUGGCAUUUGGAUGGUAACUUCAUUUGCUACUUUGAGACGAACUAAUGGCAUCUUUUGCACACAGGAGGUCGCCCUUAUAUGCUGCAUGUGUUGGGUUCUUUGUAUGGUAGGUAAUUGCCAAACUGCUAAUUCAUAAUCUUUUUCUUUUUUUUCCCCCCUUUAGGUACAUAGUGCUAAUUAAUAUUCUGACAGUCUCC